AGCGACUGUGAUUUACCACAUCUUCCAAAAUUCACCACAGCAAUGGAAAUUCCUUCCUUUAAAUGUUUCUGAACUUGAAAAGGAUGGUAGAUGAGAGCAAUCCUAUUGAACUCAGUCUGAACUAACCUCAUCCCAUUCUAACAGCCUGCAGAAAUAAGCGCUGGGAUUAAUAUGAGAAUGUCACAGAAAGAUCAUCAACAACUUUUGCUUUCAUGCUGGAAGCAAACACCUAUAUCAACUGCUGCUGCACCUGACCUGCUUACUGGUCCUAACAAAUGGCAAAGUCAACUCAAGAAAACAGACAUCAUCAGGUUUCUUUGAACUACUGGGCAUAUUACCUCUGCAGG